ACAGUUCACAGUCCCUUUUCUGGUGAGCGGCAUGGAGGACAGAAAGCCUCAGAAUCCUGCUCCAGACUUCACCUGAUGCCAAGCCUCAUCAUGACUGGCACAGGCAUGACAACACAGCCCAU